rnacentral:rRNA from 1 species
UACAGAGGUCCCAAGCGUUGUUCGGAUUCAUUGGGCGUAAAGGGUGCGUAGGCGGCGCGGUAAGUCGGGUGUGAAAUCUCGGAGCUUAACUCCGAAACUGCAUUCGAUACUGCCGUGCUUGAGGACUGGAGAGGAGACUGGAAUUCAUGGUGUAGCAGUGAAAGUGCGUAGAGAUCAUGAGGAAGACCAGUGGCGAAGGCGGGUCUCUGGACAGUUCCUGACACUGAGG